AUAUUGGACAAUGGGGUCAACCCUGAUCCAGCCAUGCCACGUGUGUGAAGUAGGUCUUCGGAUUGUAAAGCACUAUAAGUUGGGAGGAAGGGCUUUAGGUUAAUACCCUGAAGUUUUGACGUUACCCACAGAAUAAGCACCGGCUAACUCUGUGCCAGCAGCCGCGGUAAUACAGUGGGUGCAAGCGUUAAUCGGAAUUACUGGGCGUAAAGCGCGCGUAGGUGGUUCAGUAAGAUGGGUGUGAAAUCCCCGGGCUUAACCUGGGAACUGCUUUCAUGACUGCUGAGCUAGAGUACGGUAGAGGGUAGUGGAAUUUCCUGUGUAGCGGUGAAAUGCGUAGAUAUAGGAAGGAACUCCAGUGGCGAAGGCGACUACCUGGGCUGAUACUGACACUGAGGUGCGAAAGCGUGGGGAGCAAA
rnacentral:rRNA from 1 species